rnacentral:lncRNA from 10 species
GGAUGCACUGAUAGAAGGUGAUACCUGUAUGCUAAAUUAUGAGAAAACCACAGCAACUCCAAUUUCAACAUAUUGAGGAGAUGCUUCUGUUGCUUCCCAAUUUGCCCAUAUGAAGACAUCAAAAAAGGACUUAAGGAUUCAGAGAAAGAGAAAUCUUAUGAUAAAGAAAAGAAUUAGAUUUUUGGAAGAAAAGCUUAUAGGAGCUCAAUUAGAUGAAGAAACAAGUUUUGUGGAAUAGCAACAAGUAAAUAAGGCCUAUUAUGCAUAUUGAAAGAUUUAAAGAUUUGCAUUGAUAGACAUGAUUUAAAGAGCAAAUUGGAUAAAAUGAGUAAACACAACUCUGAAUCUUUAAAAGUAUUGAAUAAACAGAUGCAAUCUAAAGAAGUAGAACUCUAGCUAAGGACAGAGGUGGAAACUCAGCUGGUGAUGAGGAAUUUCAAUCCACCUUCAUCAAACUGGGAGGUGGAAAUGUUAAGCUGUAACCUGAAGAUCCAAGGUUUGGAACAAGAGCUGAUGAGGAAAGAAUAUAACGAUCUCAAAAUAGAACUACUCAAAAACCAAACAAACCUAUCUGUAUGAGGAAGACAAUCUUGAAGAGCAGAGAUCUCUGAAGAGUAAGAACUUCAAGUGAUAAUACACAGAAUGUAUACUGGCAACUGAAGAGAUAAAUGUCUAAUUUAUAUCUGGUGACUCAAGUGCUAGCUGAACUAUUAAGAAAACUGGAAACCCCAACUGCAAUCAAGAAAGCCUGCACCUCAGUAAGAUGCAUUGAAGACCCUUGGAAAGACAGCACAAAACUGCACAUGAUGAAUUUUACUGCAACAUACACAAGACAUCCCCUUCCCUGACCAAAUGGCAAAGUUCUUUUUUAUACUACAUCUUCCCCUUUACCAGGAGAUAUAAAGGUUUUAUCAGAGAAAGCAGUCCUCCAAUCACGGACAGAUAAUGAGAGAGCCAUUCCUAAUGAGGGCACACACUCUUAUGGCAGAAAUUCUCUGGAAGAUCAUUUUGAGUAUUCCCAAUCCCUCCUGACUCAAGUGAGACAGCAUUUAGGAAAAUUAAAAGUAAAAUUUUGCCUUUUAACAAAUGUGCCACUACUGCAUUACUUGGAUCAACAUAGUCAAAAUUUCCUUUAUAAGAC